rnacentral:tmRNA from 1 species
GGGGAUGAUCGGUUUCGACGGUGACCCUGUUCCAGGGGAAGCGGGUCGAGGAUGUGCAGUUAUCUCGUUAACGCCCUGCACAAACCAAUAGGUGCCGAAUCUAAGAGCACCGACUUCGCCCUCGCUGCCUAAGCGAGCCUAAAGAAGUCCGUCAGCCUGGGGAUGCUCUCGCCCCAGAUCCUGGCGUCGCUUUGAGAGCCACUGCUCCAUAGUUGCGUUACCCGACUAUGGGGGACUCUUAGGUAACUGAGCCCGUCGGCAGCUUGUCCGUGUGACUGCCGGGGCCGAGAAAGUCAGCAGCGGACUGCACCCGGAGAAUCCUUGUUUCACGUGUCAUCGGACGCGGGUUCGAUUCCCGCCAUCUCCACGA